GCCGCUUGAAUUUUCUGUUUGGUUGCAGCUUUCAAAUUGAACUCGUCCGUUGUCACGACCACCGGCGCAUUUUGAAUAUCUAGCAAAUCUACCUGAGAUGACCGUGUGAUCCAGUAAAAGAGUGUUAAUCAUAAUACGUAAUAAUCGAACGUACCAACAGAGGAACAGCACCAGCUUUACGGGCAGCCACUUUACACUUGUGGUCAUCAGCUUCCAAAACGUUGAUGAGGACAUCAACUGCCUCCGAAUUCUCCAAAGCUUGCUGGCACAUAGGAAGGGUGAGAUCGUAGCGGUUCAGGCCGCAAAGCGCUAGUAACGUUGCUGUAGGACUUCCAAACUAUUCCGUUGCCACAUUCGUCUUAAAAGAACCAAUAUUGUGGAGAAAGUUCUGAAUCGGGAAUGAAUUGUCUGGGCAAAAUGGGUAGUUCAUCGUCUUCAGACUCUUCCGAUUCUUCAGCCUUUGGAUUUUCGUUGUUCGUUAUUUGGCCGUUGACGUAAUCAGUUUGGGACAUUGUGAUUGAAAUAGAUCUUGUGGAUUGCUGCGAAAUUCUUCUUCCAUGGCAGCUAACUCUUCGCCUUCUCGAUCUAGCCAUGUUGCUUUCCACAAAGAAACAAACACCAUUGCCAGCUGGGUCGCCUGCAUUUGUAUCGGUAUCCGAGUAUUGAUCAAACGUAAUGGCUGUUAACACCUCAACUGUUGGUAUGGUAACUAACUAACUCGUAGUCCGACAGACAGAUGGAUCCGCUCCACUUUCGCCAUCGUUCACGUCAAGCCACUACGAUCGUUGUUUGACAUCUUGCCAGCAAAAUGAAAAAGGAUAAGUCGGACACAACAACAUCUUGAAAUGCUGACACCAUCUAAAACCAAG